rnacentral:rRNA from 1 species
AUUGAACGCUGGCGGCAGGCCUAACACAUGCAAGUCGAGCGGAGCGGCGGACGGGUGAGUAAUGCCUAGGAAUCGGCCUGGUCGUGAGGGAUGAAGUCCGGAAACGGACGGUAGUACAGAAUACGAUCAGACGAGCCUAGGUCGGAUUGGAUAGUUGGUGGGGUAAGGGCUCACCCAGGCGACGAUCCGUACCUGGUCUGAGAGGAUGAUCAGUCACACUGGAACUGAGACACGGUCCAGACUCCUACGGGAGGCAGCAGUGGGGAAUAUUGCACAAUGGGCGAAAGCCUGAUGCAGCCAUGCCGCGUGUUUGAAGAAGGUCUUCGGAUUGUAAAGUCCUUUCAGUUGGGAGGCGUUACCAACAGAAUAAGCACCGGCUAACUUCGUGCCAGCCGCCGCGGUAAUUC